rnacentral:tRNA from 1 species
GUCCUUUUGGUGGAAUGGAAGACACAUCGAGUUUAAGCCUCGAUGGCUAUAUGCCGUGUAGGUUCAAGUCCUACAAGGGACA